CCCUUGGAGUGUUGUAAAAACUUGAGUAGUUUAAAACGAAAGAGAACACGAUGAAUAGGGAA
rnacentral:sRNA from 12 species